rfam:Felis catus isolate Cinnamon breed Abyssinian chromosome B2, whole genome shotgun sequence.
GCCUGGGUGGCUCAGUCGGUUAAGCAACUGACUUUGGCUCAGGUCAUGAUCUCAUGGUUCGUGGGUUUGAGCCCCACGUUGGGCU